UACGUAGGGCGCGAGCGUUGUCCGGAAUUAUUGGGCGUAAAGAGCUCGUAGGCGGCUUGUCACGUCGGGUGUGAAAGCCCGGGGCUUAACCCCGGGUCUGCAUUCGAUACGGGCUGGCUAGAGUGUGGUAGGGGAGAUCGGAAUUCCUGGUGUAGCGGUGAAAUGCGCAGAUAUCAGGAGGAACACCGGUGGCGAAGGCGGGUCUCUGGGCCGAUACUGACGCUGAGGAGCGAAAGCGUGGGGAGCGAACAGG
rnacentral:rRNA from 1 species